rnacentral:lncRNA from 1 species
AUUUAAGAAUCACUAUUUUUGAUACUUCUCUAAUUUUUUGAGGAUGUUUGGCAUACAUUAAAAAAUUAUAUAAAAAAACUAAAUCAAAAAAAAUUAAAUUAAAUUUGAUUAGUUAUUUUCUAGCAAAUAUAUAUAUUUUUAUUUGUAUUAGAUACAGUAAUUAUCCACAAGUUUCUACCUAAUUACAACUUGAAUAAACUUGUAGUGGAUUUAAGUUGUUUUAUUUUUAUCUUUUUCUUUUUCUUUUUUCAUUUUGAGGCUCUGAAUAUGGUAAUUUCACAUUCGAAACAUAUGUACAUCUUGCAAAUAUUUUGAAAAUGAUAUUUUUAUUUUAUUUUUUUAAUAAAUUGCUGUAACUGAAUAUGAAAAUAGUAAAUUGAGAAGUCCCAUCUUUGCCAAAUCAGAGUUCAGCAUUCUUUAUACGGGAAAAGGUAUAAAUCAAUGUAUUUAAUGUUCAACUCUUCAUCAAUAU